CAGAGGAAGAGUGCUGCUGCCGUGUUGGCUGUGGAUCCUCAUUACUCUCACAAGCAGUGCUUAACUUUGUGAUGGGAAAUGGAAUGGAGGAAGUUGAGGCUCAGCUACGCAGUGUCCUUCAUGCUUGGUGUUCUUCAUGUUCCCUCUUCGGAUGGUAGCUGGGGCUGAAUCAUCUGCAGGCUUGACUGGGCUGGAUUGUUCCAGAAUAAUCUGGAAGA